CGAACGCUGGCGGCAGGCUUAACACAUGCAAGUCGAGCGAGAUCUUCGGAUCUAGCGGCGGACGGGUGAGUAACGCGUGGGAACGUGCCCUUUGCUACGGAAUAGUCCCGGGAAACUGGGUUUAAUACCGUAUACGCCCUUCGGGGGAAAGAUUUAUCGGCAAAGGAUCGGCCCGCGUUGGAUUAGGUAGUUGGUGGGGUAAUGGCCUACCAAGCCGACGAUCCAUAGCUGGUUUGAGAGGAUGAUCAGCCACACUGGGACUGAGACACGGCCCAGACUCCUACGGGAGGCAGCAGUGGGGAAUCUUAGACAAUGGGGGCAACCCUGAUCUAGCCAUGCCGCGUGAGUGAUGAAGGCCUUAGGGUUGUAAAGCUCUUUCAGCUGGGAAGAUAAUGACGUACCAGCAGAAGAGCCC
rnacentral:rRNA from 1 species